AAAAACAUAUUCCUCUCUUCUGUAAAAAUCCCUAAUCCGAAAUUCGCUGGAUUCAUAAUCCAAAUCCAAACAUCAUUGAAUCUUCCGCCCUCUUUUCCGUUUUUCGUCACAAAAAUGUCCUCCAGCGGCGUCACGGUGGCGGAAGGCGGCCCUCAGAUGUUCUUCUGCCACCAAUGCGAGCGCACCGUCACCAUCACCCCCUCCCCCGCCGGCGACAUCCUCUGCCCCUCCUGCAACUCCGGCUUCGUCGAAGAAUUCCAAAACCCUAACCCUACCCCCGCCCCGGACCCCUUCCUCUCCGAUCCCCUCUCCCUCUUCCUCUCCCAAUUCCUCCCUUCCGCAACAACAACAAACCCUAGCCCUCUCUCCCGCCCGCCUAGGGCCGCCCCUGAGUCCUCCUUCGGCCAGGAUGCCUUCGACCCGGUUCUCUACCUCAUGAACCUCCUCGCCAAUCGCCGCGCCAGCGGCAUUGACUAUCAGUUCGUCUUCGACGACCAUCCGUCGCCUGCUUCCGGAUUCCCUCUCUCCACGAACCUCGGAGACUAUUUCAUGGGCCCUGGAUUCGAGCAGUUGAUCCAGCAAUUGUCCGAGAACGAUCCCAAUCGAUACGGCACGCCUCCGGCCUCCAAGUCUGCUGUCCAGGCGCUUCCGAGCGUUAAUGUGGACGAGGGAAUGCUGAAAUCGGACUUGGUGCAGUGUGCGGUGUGCAAGGAUGAUUUGGAAUUGGGGACUGUUGUCAAGCAGAUGCCUUGCAAGCAUGUUUAUCACGAUGAUUGCAUUCUGCCCUGGCUGGAGUUGCAUAAUUCGUGCCCUGUGUGUCGCUACGAGCUUCCUACUGAUGAUGCGGACUAUGAGAACAGGAAUGGAGUUUCUCGGGGGGGCAACGGUGGUGAUGGGGAUGCAGCUGGGGGUUCUGAUGGGCAGAGGACCGUGGAGAGGAGGAUGACCAUAUCAUUUCCUUGGCUGUUUGGAGGGUCAGAUUCAGGUCGUGAAGGUGGUGGCCGGAACAAUCAGUGGCGGAGUUAAACGUGUUUCCAUAAGGAUUUCGAUCUAAAGUUAUUGAAUCCAAUUCUAUGCAUAAUUCAGUCUUUAUGAUGUGGAUGAAGUUGAUGAUAGCUUAUUUGCGCUUGAUGGAGAACAAUCUUUGUGCUUGUAACGAAGGAUAGAUAGAGGGAUUACUUGCAUGAUCACAUAAUAACCAUCAGUUUGUUUUUUUUGUUGCAUAAGUAAACUCAGCACGGUUCAUGUCAUUUUUGUACAGUGAAAUCUCUAUAAUCAUGUUAAAGUAUCGAUUUUGGUUAUAUAACUUA